GGGGAUUUAGCUCAGUGGUAGAGCGCUUGCCUACCAAGCACAAGGCCCUGGGUUCAGUCCCCAGCUCCG
rfam:Rattus norvegicus chromosome 3, whole genome shotgun sequence.